UUCUAUGGAAAAAUAAUAUGGAAUUGGAUAGUAUCAUGAAUUUUUACCUAAUUUAAGUGUGAGACCACUCACCCGUGCAAUAUCUCCAAAUGGGCUAAAAGAAUUAUUGGGAGUUGUCAAAAGGGCAAUUAAUUAUUUUAGUGCUGCAAAUAUUUUUGAUUUAAUUGGCUUGUUAUUAUUCUCGUUGUAAUAACAGAACGAUGUGGCCCUUUUUAGCCCUCGUUCAGAUUUGCAUUCCAUUUCCAAGACUUUCAGGCACGUCACUGUUGUCAUACUCUUUUCUUUUUCUUCGUUUUUUUGAAUAAAAAACGUUUUGUCUUUUUUGUUUUUGUUAUAAUUAAAGUUGACAAAGCACUUUAUUGACUAAUUUAUUCACAAUAAAUUAUUGAACUAUUUAAAUCGCUCUCAUAUUCUUGUUCAUAUUAUUCUUGCACGAGAUUCAACACCCAAAGUACAGGCAGAAUGCAAUUCCACAUCAUCAGUAUGAUUUCUUUGAAAAACAACACAGUCACACUCAAAAUAAUAUAUUUUAUGAGUUCUGGCCUCUUGAUCGGGAAGACAAAAUGGCAUGGGAUGUUUUCCUUAGUUUGCAGAAUGCCAUUCCACAUCAUCACCAGUAUGAUUUCUUUCAUCCAAACUGCAGAGAGCAGCAUCGAUCGCCUCUUCCCAGGGCCAUGAACCAACAUAGAAUCGGAUCUCUAAUAGUCAACCAAAAGAUGUUGUAUAAGGAAGAUCUUAGCUGCUACAUUGCGAUGUUGUUGAAGAAGAAACAAUCUGAGCUACUACAUGGAAUCGAAAUCAAUCUAGGCUUUUUAAUUGAUUUCUCCCUUCCUGCAAUGUUUGCUGUUGAAGAAGAAACAAUUUGUCUCUUGCGUUGUUAGAAUCUCGCUCUCUUCUCGUUUGAAACUCGCUGCGUUUUGUAACAGGUAUGUUACAAUUGUUUUUCAAAUCGAGAUAUCGAAAUGUGUUGCUAGUGUGUUUUGUUUUUGUUAAA